CUGCUGGUAGCAAGGGUUGUCCCCUGUUAUCGAGGUUACAGCUCGGCGCCCUGCUCGGCCAUAAUACC
rnacentral:tRNA from 1 species